AAUGAACGUUGGCGGCGUGGAUUAGGCAUGCAAGUCGAGCGAGAAGUCUUAGAUUGAAGCUUCGGCCGAUUUCUAAGAUGGACAGCGGCGAAAGGGAGAGUAACGCGUGGGUUAUCUACCUCCGGGUUCGGGAUAGCUGCGGGAAACUGCAGGUAAUACCGUAUAACGUCUUUGGACCAAAGGUGUGAUUCCGCCUGGAGAUGAGCCCGCGUCCUAUUAGCUUGUUGGUGAGGUAACGGCUCACCAAGGCUUCUAUGGGUACCGGGUGUGAGAGCAUGGCCCGGCUCACUGGGACUGAGACACUGCCCAGACACCUACGGGUGGCUGCAGUCGAGAAUCUUCGGCAAUGCGCGCAAGCGUGACCGAGCGACGCCGCGUGCGGGAUGAAGGCCUUCGGGUUGUAAACCGCUGUCAGUUGGGAGGAAAUCCAUAGGGGCUAUCCCCUAUGGUUGACCUAUCAUCAGAGGAAGGACGGGCUAAGUUCGUG
rnacentral:rRNA from 1 species